rnacentral:tRNA from 1 species
CAUUAGAUGGCUGAAAGCAAGUACUGGUCUCUUAAACCAUCCUAUAGUAGUAUAGCAACUACUUCUAAUG